UCGGGAAUUUUGGGCAAUGGGCGAAAGCCUGACCCAGCAACGCCGCGUGAAGGAUGAAGUAUUUCGGUAUGUAAACUUCGUAAGAAUAGGAAGAAUAAAUGACGGUACUAUUUGUAAGGUCCGGCUAACUACGUGCCAGCAGCCGCGGUAAUACGUAGGGACCAAGCGUUGUUCGGAUUUACUGGGCGUAAAGGGCGCGUAGGCGGCAAUUCAAGUCAUCUGUGAAAUCUCCGGGCUUAACUCGGAACGGUCAGAUGAUACUGCUUUGCUAGAGUGCAGAAGGGGCAAUCGGAAUUCUUGGUGUAGCGGUGAAAUGCGUAGAUAUCAAGAGGAACACCUGAGGUGAAGACGGGUUGCUGGGCUGACACUGACGCUGAGGCGCGAAAGCCAGGGGAGCAAACGGGAUUAGAUACCCUUGUAGUCCCUGAGCGGGCUGGCAAGGCGCAU
rnacentral:rRNA from 1 species